AACGAACGUUGGCGGCGUGCCUAACACAUGCAAGUCGAACGUGAUUAGAGAGCUUGCUCUCUAUGAAAGUGGCGCACGGGUGAGUAACGCGUAGAUAAUCUGCCUGAUGAUCCGGGAUAACACUUCGAAAGGGGUGCCAAUACCGGAUAAGCCCACGGGGUCCUUGGACUCUGCGGGAAAAGGGGGGGAUCGCAAGACCUUCAGCCAUGAGAUGAGACUGCGUACCAUUAGCUAGUUGGUAGGGUAAAGGCCUACCAAGGCGACGAUGGUUAGCUGGUCUGAGAGGAUGAUCAGCCACACUGGAACUGAGACACGGUCCAGACUCCUACGGGAGGCAGCAGUGGGGAAUUUUGCGCAAUGGGGGAAACCCUGACGCAGCAACGCCGCGUGAGUGAUGAAGGCCCUUGGGUCGUAAAGCUCUGACAGAGGGAAAGAAGUGUACGAUGGCUAAUAUCCAUUGUACUUGACGGUACCCUCAAAGGAAGCACCGGCUAACUCCGUGCAGCAGCCGCGGUAACAC
rnacentral:rRNA from 1 species